ACUAUACCGAUGCAGUAAAAUUCUCAAUAUUAAUUGGCUAAAAAAUCAAUACCAAAAGAAACGGCUGUUGAUCAAGUCCACUAUCCAAAAUUUUUUCGUACACCCCCACCUAAUGGAGCAGCGAGACAGCUGUGCAGCUGGUGAUCCAAACGAUCACCACUCUCAAUGCACUCAACUUAAGAUCAAUAUUGAUACACAUCAUUGAGGAAAGAUUGAAUCCAAACACGCUGUCAUCUUUAGAACUAGCCAUCACCGAUCCAACCACUCGACAAUCUCUGAAGGUCUCUCAGCUUAUCUUAAUCUCCAAAAGAAUGGCGUAUAAACUGGAACUCUAAUUGGAGCCAUCAACCCUAAACAUUUCUGGCAUAGGAGAAAAACUAAAGGAGCAUGAAAAAAAACUGUGUUGACCAUAUCAUCAUUAACCACUGGUUUCCAAAAACAAAUCUACGUAGUCGUAUUACUGAAAACAAUGCUCAAUUAACCAUUCCACCUAUUCAGACACGAAAAAAUAUCCCACUACAGUUGCGCUUCGCCGAUCCUGAAUUUACACAACACCAGAAGAUUGAUCUGCCGUGGGGGGCCGAAUAUAACUACCGGCUUAUGAGGCCAAAACAAGCACAUUUGACAUAAAGACAGCCACUACUCCAAAAUACAGCGCUGGGAUGAAUUGUAAUCGGGCCAGUAUGACUGGGAUCCGCGUUAGAUUUCAAGGCAAAAGAAGUUGUCAAUCAUCACGCGGAUAGGGCACCGGAAUCUAUCGAGCCACUAAAGGGUAUUUGACGGGUAUAUAAAGGGUGCAAUCGACGCAUCAAAGCGAAGUUCUAAUUGACGAUGAAUGUUCAAGUCGGAACUAGAAAAACCUGGAAGAUUAGUGAAGUUUCCGCCAAUGGCGGAUCAACAAGACGAGCCUCAGAAGGAAAUUGAACCACAAACCCAAGGUUUUUAAAGUGCCAGAAAACAAUAGAAUUCAAGGAGUUUAACUCACCGUCAAAACUAAAGUACGCAUAUGGGAGACAUAUCACCCGGUAAGGGUAACAGAGCCUCUGUAGGAGGAAACUGGCAGCCGUCUUAACCCAUUUCCUUUCUCUGUUGCGUAUCUGCGCAUCACUCUUCAAUAAAUUCGUAUGUGCCGUAUGUGUGAGGUAUCGCUAUACAUUUUUUUGUUUGUAAGGUAUAUCCUUUAGCUUCCUUCCCUUUAUUAUCUUAACCACUUCCAAAACGCACACUUUUAUAUGUAGCUACAUGUUUUUCAGACAAAUUUUGAAUCGCACAAUAAAGAUUUUCAAACGUCGAUUCUUGUACUGAUUAAGGAUACAAUACAUUUACCAAAAUGCAAGGAAGAAUUAAACGUGGUUCAUGAGUUAUCUAGGUGAUAUUAUUCGUAUUAUAGAUGAGUCUCAAUUCUGUGUUGCGUGUACGCAAAGUUGGCGCGUUGAGCAACACUUGGGCGGGUAGUGUUCUAUAUCGCUCAUUGUUUUCAGUACGGUGAGAUUCGACUAAAUAGCUUGGUAAAGUCGAUUGCGAAAAUAUAUUUACAUUUGAUGUCAUACGUAUGGAAAAUGGAAACGAAAUCGUAACUGUUAAGUAUUGUUAUUGUUGAGUCGCUGGUGAGAUCAUUGUUUAAAUUCGCGGAGAUAGACGAAGAAGCUGUUACACCUCUAGAGGAAAAGAUUAUUCGUGAUGAGUUAUUUAGUUGUGGAUGUAGUUGUUUUGGAAUUUUGCAAAUUUUGAAAAAACUUCAAUGAAAACUUGGCACCUGUAAAAAGCUGACAAAACUCCAUUCGACCUGUUUCGGAUGUUCUUGGACGACGAAAUCAUCGAAAAAUUGUUUCUAACACAAACAUCUACGCUCUACAAAAAAAAUAUUAUUUGCUACUCAACAACAAAUUGAUCGCUUAAUCGGAAUUCUUUUAUUUUCGGUUUAGCCAGAUCUUGGGCUGCUUAACGUGAGACAAUCAAUGCCUCGACCCACUUUUCGAACACUAAAAUCAAUAUUACAUCUAAUUGACAACAAUAGCAUAGACAAGUCAGACAUAUUUGGCAUUUUUACUACACAUUUAUCAAUUGAUGAACAGAAGAUUCCAUAUUUCGGUCGUCAUAACUGCAAAAUGUUUAUAAGAGGAAAAUCAAUACCCUUCGUCUUCAAACUGUGAUGCCUCUGUUCUGAUUCAGGAUUUCUUGUUCAUGAUAAUACGCAGCUUGCUUAAUGAGAGAAAAAUCCUGGCAAUUGGCUCUGUGCGAUGAAACCUUCUGAGAGGAGCAAACAGUGUUCUUUCAACAGCGAAACGUUUAAAGCAACAUUCCUGGGAUACGUGUUUUGAAAACAUCAACAAGAUAUUUGUCUGUCGUUGGCAGGACAAUUCUGAAGUGACGGUCCUUCAAACUUUAUCGAUACUGAGCCCACACAUGACAUUUGCAUGACAAUGCUGUCUCCAACUACCGAAUCGAAAUAAAAGUGGUGGUGCAAUAAAAAAA